AAGCACUGCAGGUGUGGCUGCCACAUCUCAUGUGCGUCAGAGGAGAGAGGGUGUGUCUAUCAUCAGUAUUCUGACCUGUGAACACCUGAAUGGUUAGUAGCCUAAAAAU
rnacentral:snoRNA from 1 species